ACCUACGGGACGCAGCAGUGGGGAAUAUUGCACAAUGGGGGAAACCCUGAUGCAGCGACGCCGCGUGAGUGAAGAAGUAUCUCGGUACGUAAAGCUCUAUCAGCAGGGAAGAAAAAAAGUCUUUGGCUUUGGACGGUACCUGACUAAGAAGCCCCGGCUAACUACGUGCCAGCAGCCGCGGUAAUACGUAGGGGGCAAGCGUUAUCCGGAUUUACUGGGUGUAAAGGGAGCGUAGGCGGCUGUGUAAGCCAGAAGUGAAAGCCCGAGGCUCAACCACGGGACUGCUUUUGGAACUACAUGGCUUG
rnacentral:rRNA from 1 species